CAGCCGUAAACUAUGCGCGUUAGGUGUAUCGGUGACCACGAGUUACCGAGGUGCCGAAGGGAAACCGUGAAACGUGCCGCCUGGGAAGUACGGUCGCAAGGCUGAAACUUAAAGGAAUUGGCGGGGGAGCACCACAACAGGUGGAGCCUGCGGUUUAAUUGGACUCAACGCCGGGAAGCUCACCGGAUAAGACAGCGGAAUGAUUGCCGGGCUGAAGACUCUGCAUGACUAGCUGAGAGGAGGUGCAUGGCGUAGACGUCU
rnacentral:rRNA from 1 species